GCUCCGGUAGCUCAGUUGGAUAGAGCAAGCGCCUCCUAAGCGCUAGGUCGCAGGUUCGACUCCUGCUCGGGGCGCCA
rnacentral:tRNA from 3 species